rnacentral:rRNA from 1 species
GACGGAGGGUGCUAGCGUUGUUCGGAAUCACUGGGCGUAAAGGGCGCGUAGGCGGCUUUGGCAGUCGGCUCGUGAAAGCCCGGGGCUCAACCCCGGAGGUGCGGCCGAUACACCAAGGCUGGAGGCCGGAAGAGGAGGGUGGAAUACCCAGUGUAGAGGUGAAAUUCGUAGAUAUUGGGUGGAACACCGGUGGCGAAAGCGGCUCUCUGGUCCGGUUCUGACGCUGAGGCGCGAAAGCGUGGGGAGCAAACAGG